rnacentral:rRNA from 1 species
CUCAGGAUGAACGCUAGCUACAGGCUUAACACAUGCAAGUCGAGGGGCAGCAUCAUCAAAGCUUGCUUUGAUGGAUGGCGACCGGCGCACGGGUGAGUAACACGUAUCCAACCUGCCGACAACACUGGGAUAGCCUUUCGAAAGAAAGAUUAAUACCGGAUGGCAUAGUUUUCCCGCAUGGGAUGAUUAUUAAAGAAUUUCGGUUGUCGAUGGGGAUGCGUUCCAUUAGGCAGUUGGCGGGGUAACGGCCCACCAAACCNACGAUGGAUAGGGGUUCUGAGAGGAAGGUCCCCCACAUUGGAACUGAGACACGGUCCAAACUCCUACGGGAGGCAGCAGUGAGGAAUAUUGGUCAAUGGACGAGAGUCUGAACCAGCCAAGUAGCGUGAAGGAUGACUGCCCUAUGGGUUGUAAACUUCUUUUAUACGGGAAUAAAGUUAGCCACGUGUGGCUUUUUGUAUGUACCGUAUGAAUAAGGAUCGGCUAACUCCGUGCCAGCAGCCGCGGUAAUACGGAGGAUCCGAGCGUUAUCCGGAUUUAUUGGGUUUAAAGGGAGCGUAGGCGGGUUGUUAAGUCAGUUGUGAAAGUUUGCGGCUCAACCGUAAAAUUGCAGUUGAUACUGGCGACCUUGAGUGCAACAGAGGUAGGCGGAAUUCGUGGUGUAGCGGUGAAAUGCUUAGAUAUCACGAAGAACUCCGAUUGCGAAGGCAGCUUACUGGAUUGUAACUGACGCUGAUGCUCGAAAGUGUGGGUAUCAAACAGGAUA